rnacentral:lncRNA from 1 species
AGUAGUAAACAAAAAUCAAAUCCAAUGGUAAGCAAAAAUCAACAGAAAAUAGAGACAUCUAGAUCUAACAAAAUCAGAUUUUGGGAUUUUGUUUUGUUUGUUUAGAUUUUGUGUUUUUUGGGUUUGAUUUGUGUUUAAAACUGUUAAAUAAGUGUUUUUAAAGGUGAUUUGGGGAUUUUUUUUUUUUGAGUUUUUAGGGAUACUUUGUUUAGAUUUGGUGAUUUGAGGAUUUUUUUUUUCUUGAACUAGUGAGAGAAGAGAAGAGAGAGCGUGAUAGUGAGAGAAGAGA